UACGUAGGGGGCUAGCGUUGUCCGGAAUCAUUGGGCGUAAAGCGCGCGUAGGCGGCCCGGUAAGUCCGCUGUAAAAGUCCAGGGCUCAACCCUGGAACGCCGGUGGAUACUGUCGGGCUAGAGUCCGGAAGAGGCGAGUGGAAUUCCUGGUGUAGCGGUGGAAGUGCGCAGAUAUCAGGAGGAACACCGAGUGGCGAAGGCAGCUCGCUGGGACGUGACUGACGCUGAGACGCGAAAGCGUGGGGAGCAAACAGG
rnacentral:rRNA from 1 species